UCAGACGGCUGGACGGCCGCUUUCAAGGUUCGCCUUGGGGGAGGAAAGUCCGGGCUCCACGGAAGUACGGUGCCGGAUAACGUCCGGCGGGGGCGACCCUAGGGAAAGUGCCACAGAAAGCAAACCGCCAGCCCCGAACCGCAAGGUUACGGCUGGUAAGGGUGAAAGGGUGCGGUAAGAGCGCACCGCGCGACCGGCAACGGAAGCGGCACGGUAAACCCCACCGGGAGCAAGACCAAAUAGGGGCGGCGGUCUUCCCUUCGGGGAA
rnacentral:RNase_P_RNA from 1 species